UACAGAGGGUGCGAGCGUUGUCCGGAAUCACUGGGCGUAAAGGGCGCGUAGGUGGCGCUCCAAGUCUGUGGUGAAAGCUCGACGCUCAACGUCGAGUCGGCCACGGAGACUGGAGGGCUCGAGCACUGUAGGGGCAGAUGGAAUUCCGGGUGUAGCGGUGGAAUGCGUAGAGAUCCGGAAGAACACCGGUGGCGAAGGCGGUUGGCUGGGCCGUGGCUGACGCUGAGGCGCGACAGCGUGGGGAGCAAACAGG
rnacentral:rRNA from 1 species